AGGGAAUAUCAACUAAGUGGAGACAAUAGUAGUUUUUCAUUAUUAACUGAAAGAUAAAUGAGAUCAUACCAACAAAAUGCCAUGAAGUUUCAUAAGAGAGUGUCUAUAAAGGACACAAGUAUGUCUCAUCAUACUGAAAACCAAGAUACAGAAAUCUGCGGCCUGCGCAUCAGGAACCACGUGAUUCAGUCCUGGCUUUGGUGACAGGUCACAUUUCCAUUUCUCUGGGCCUUGUAUUUAGCCCACACCAGCCUUUCUUUUUGAAAAGAAGGUUCCAUAAAAUGUGGAAACCAUCUGACAUCUGUGUUAACUUCCUAUGAGGGGCGUUGGCACCUGAUCACAAGAACAUGGAAGGAGUAGUAUGAUGAACACAUAUGCACCUUCACCUUGAUUCACCAGCUGUUAAUAUUUUUCCACAUUUGCUUCCUCUCUUCCAUAUAUUUUGC